CAAUAGCGUAUAUUAAAGCUGUUGCGGUUAAAAAGCUCGUAGUUGGAUUUCUGUCAAGGACAACUGGUCCGCCCUCCGGGUGAGCACAUAGUUUGGUCUUGACAUCUUGCUGGAAGCUGUUGCUGCACUUGGCUGUGUGGCGCAGUGUUCAGCACUUUCACUUUGAGGAAAUUGGAGUGUUUCAAGCAGGCACAUGCCUUUGGACACAGUAGCAUGGAAUAAUUAGAUUGGGCUUUUGCUCCAAUUUGUCGGUUUCUGGAGCUGAGGUGAGUAUUAAUGGGGAUUGUUGGGGGCAUCCGAAUUUAGCCGUCAGAGGUGAAAUUCUUGGAUCUGCUAAAGACGGACAACUGCGAAAGCGUUUACCCAGGAUGUUUUCAUUG
rnacentral:rRNA from 1 species